GAGUUUGAUCAUGGCUCAGAUUGAACGCUGGCGGCAUGCUUUACACAUGCAAGUCGAACGGCAGCGGGGGCUUCGGCCUGCCGGCGAGUGGCGAACGGGUGAGUAAUGCAUCGGAACGUGCCCAUGUCGUGGGGGAUAACUACGCGAAAGCGUAGCUAAUACCGCAUACGCCCCGAGGGGGAAAGCGGGGGACUCUUCGGAGCCUCGCGCGAUUGGAGCGGCCGAUGCCGGAUUAGCUAGUUGGUGAGGUAAAGGCUCACCAAGGCGACGAUCCGUAGCGGGUCUGAGAGGAUGAUCCGCCACACUGGGACUGAGACACGGCCCAGACUCCUACGGGAGGCAGCAGUGGGGAAUUUUGGACAAUGGGGGGAACCCUGAUCCAGCCAUGCCGCGUGAGUGAAGAAGGCCUUCGGGUUGCAAAGCUCUUUCGGCCGGGAAGAAAUCGCGCACUCUAACAUAGUGUGUGGAUGACGGUACCGGACUAAGAAGCACCGGCUAACUACGUGCCAGCAGCCGCGGUAAUACGUAGGGUGCGAGCGUUAAUCGGAAUUACUGG
rnacentral:rRNA from 1 species